AGGGAAUCUUCCGCAAUGGACGAAAGUCUGACGGAGCAACGCCGCGUGAGUGAUGAAGGUUUUCGGAUCGUAAAGCUCUGUUGCCAGGGAAGAACGUCUUCUGGAGUAACUGCCAGGAGAGUGACGGUACCUGAGAAGAAAGCCACGGCUAACUACGUGCCAGCAGCCGCGGUAAUACGUAGGGGGCAAGCGUUGUCCGGAAUUAUUGGGCGUAAAGCGCGCGCAGGCGGCUGUUUAAGUCUGGUGUUUAAGCCUGGGGCUCAACCCCGGGUCGCACUGGAAACUGGACAGCUUGAGUGCAGAAGAGGAGAGUGGAAUUCCACGUGUAGCGGUGAAAUGCGUAGAGAUGUGGAGGAACACCAGUGGCGAAGGCGACUCUCUGGGCUGUAACUGGCGCUGAGGCGCGAAAGCGUGGGGAGCAAAC
rnacentral:rRNA from 1 species